rnacentral:RNase_P_RNA from 1 species
GAUGACUGCUGGCAGCAAUGUCAGAGGAAAGUCCAUGCUCGCGCCGUCUGUGAUGGCGGCAGUGUCUGUGCCAGGCCAAUCAAUAAGCCUGGGGUGGGAGGAGUCCCAUACGGCAGAACCGAACCUAAAGGCAACCAUGGUAUCGGUUCUUGAAAGCUCCACAGUGACGAACCUGAGGGAAACCUCAGGAAUGCAACGAUUGGAAAGCCCCGCAAGCGAGAAACCUAAAUUUUGGUAAGGGAAGUCUGAAUCGGGAACCGAACCGAGACGGACAGGUCAUUGACCUAGAUAAAUUGUCAUCCUCGACAAAACAUGGCUUACAG